rnacentral:rRNA from 1 species
AUAUCAGUCAUGCAUAGCAUAUCAAUAAGCGGAGGAAAAGAAACUAACAAGGAUUCCCUUAGUAACGGCGAGUGAAGCGGGAAGAGCUCAAAUUUGAAAUCUUAAAGGGUUUCCCUUUACGAAUUGUAGUUUAAAGAAGUGUUUUCUGUUGGAGUUUCGGUAAAAGUUCUUUGGAAUAGGACAUCAUAGAGGGUGAGAAUCCCGUAUUUGACCAGUUACUUUCCAGCUGUGUGAUACACUUUCAAAGAGUCGGAUUGUUUGGGAAUGCAGUCCAAAAUGGGUGGUAAAUUUCAUCUAAAGCUAAAUAUUGGCGAGAGACCGAUAGCGAACAAGUACCGUGAGGGAAAGAUGAAAAGAACUUUGAAAAGAGAGUUAAACAGUACGUGAAAUUGUCAAAAGGGAAGCGUUUGACACCAGUGUUGUUUAGUUCGAAAAUCAAUUAACUAAUUUGUGAUUUUAAGUAGUUAUGACUUCAUCAGCUUGCUGCUCUCUUUACAGAAACUUCUUGAAUGCACUUUUCAGUUAACAAGUCAACAUCAAUUUCUUUUGUUGUAAAAGAGUACAUGGAAGGUGGCUUUUCUUUCGGAAGAAAGUGUUUAUAGCCUUGUAGCCUCUGCAAUCGGAGAGAUUGAGGUCUGCAGCGUAGAUCCUUCGGGGUUAGAUACAGUUUGUGCUAAGUUAUAGCUUGUCAUAGACAACUUGUUGACUAUACUUAAGUCAUUGUAGCUUACUCGCAGAUAUGCUAUUUUACCUACGCUUAGGAUGUUGAUGUGAUACUGCGAGCA